GACGAACGCUGGCGGCGUGCCUAAUACAUGCAAGUAGAACGCUGAAGGAGGAGCUUGCUUCUCUGGAUGAGUUGCGAACGGGUGAGUAACGCGUAGGUAACCUGCCUGGUAGCGGGGGAUAACUAUUGGAAACGAUAGCUAAUACCGCAUAAUAGCAGUUGUUGCAUGACAACUGUUUGAAAGGUGCAAUUGCACCACUACCAGAUGGACCUGCGUUGUAUUAGCUAGUUGGUGGGGUAACGGCUCACCAAGGCGACGAUACAUAGCCGACCUGAGAGGGUGAUCGGCCACACUGGGACUGAGACACGGCCCAGACUCCUACGGGAGGCAGCAGUAGGGAAUCUUCGGCAAUGGACGGAAGUCUGACCGAGCAACGCCGCGUGAGUGAAGAAGGUUUUCGGAUCGUAAAGCUCUGUUGUAAGAGAAGAACGAGUGUGAGAGUGGAAAGUUCACGCUGUGACGGUAUCUUACCAGAAAGGGACGGCUAACUACGUG
rnacentral:rRNA from 1 species